ACAUGCCUACAACAUAGCGUUAAUGCACUAGAUCCCAUUAGAACUCCGCAGUUAAGCGCGCUCGAUCUAGAGUAAUACUGGGAUGGGUGACUGCCUGCGAAGUCCUAGUGUUUUACAUGCC
rfam:Picea glauca, whole genome shotgun sequence.